UAUAUAUUUCUUUUUGACGUGGCCUUAACAAAAUUUAAUUCAGAAGGCAGCCAUGCCUUUGUGCUUAACCACACAUCAGUUUAAAAGCGUGGGGGCUCAUUGUGUUCACGGCUCAGAUUUCGGAACCGUGGGAAAACAGAGGCGACCGUUGUACGGAUGCUUUGAUCGAGUGUGUGGGGCUGCACGCUAAGUGUUUGUAGAAAUUCCUGAACGACUGUUGUCUUCUGGAUUGCAAGAGUAUUUAUUUCGCUAGGCGAUGAAGGAACUUGAGGCCAACUUGAGAUUGCUAGAAGAGGCUACUGCAGGAAUUAGAAAAAGAAAAAAGCUUUGUUUUCCUUCAUAAGAUUCUAAUGAGAAUUCAUCUUGUGCAAGGAGAGAUUAUUCUGUGUGAACACUGGACGCAGCUCUACAUUCGGAGGCGAAUCAGGUGCAACCACGUCAGCAAUACCAGGCCGCAGUACCGAGCGAAGGGAUGACAUGGCGCAUUCUGAUUGGUUUCCGGACGACAGUUGACGUCCGCACAAAAUAACUUUUCUUGUGCCAGAGCUCAUUUGGCUGCUUGAAUUAAAAAAGAAAAAAAAAUAUUUUUUUAAUAAAAGUAUAAAUCUAUUAGAUUCCAUCAUUUAUUUGGAUGUGGUUAGAAAUCAACUUGGUUUUUAGACUCUACAAACACCUUCAUUAUCACUCAAUAAGACUUUUUUUUUACACUCAAUAUUGAGUGAAGAUAUGCCAUCAUUUUCUUGAAAAUAGAUUUUAUAACUGCAAGCUACCAUAGGGGGCCUAUGCAGAAUCUAUGAACUCUUGCUUUGUAUUCCUUGUGUAUACAUAGAGAUGCUUUUUUUGCCACUUUUUCUGACCAUUUAUUGAUCUAUAAAUUCUUAUGACUUUGAAAAA